rnacentral:tRNA from 1 species
UGGUCGCCGUCGAUCAUGCGGUAGGUCCGGCCCUCCCCGGGCUGGACGUGGACGCUCUCCAUGGCUCCUCCUGUGCUCGGUACCACCGAGCGUGCGAC